GCAAUUAUAGUAUAAAUCUAAUACAUUACAUUUUCAUUGUAAAGAUGAAUUUUAUUCUAAUAGCU